AAUAAUGUGAACAUUUAGUGGAUAUAACAUACUCAACAGGAGACUGAUUGGUUGGUGACAUACAAGACACCUGAUCAUCUUUACGCAGGUGCCGAAAUACGCGACGCACUGUCCUCCAGGAGGGAACUUUAAAAAAACCAAAACUACCUGCGGCGUGACGUCAGACGCCGAAAUGAUGGUCACGUGCAGCAGCUCGUGUAAAGGCAACAACACAAAAUGGCUCGUUUGACCUGGUCAAGAUUGAUGACUGUCCAUAAUGGAACAAACUUCUGCUUCCUGCUCGCGGAGACCUGGUUAGACUCGCCCAGUUUCGCAACACCUGAGGCUAUUGAAAAAAGUUGAACUUCAUGAAGAUCUUCAAACAGUAGGUGUCAUGUAUUUUUAUUCUGGGUGUCCCCACUCGCUCUUUUCCUUGGCCGCCGUGCCCGUAUCCUAUCUGUAUUGUCCAUUUGAAUUUGCUGAAACUGUCCAUACGUCCAACAUGGCCACGUUCUUUCGCUUCUCCUCUUCCUCCUUUCCAUCUGAAAUAGCUGAGGGUUGUGUAUGGAUUAGUGAGUUUGUGUUCUGUUUGUUGCUAGUUGAAGUGACAUUGUCCAAUUUUGGGUGGUCUAUGUAAGAUGUUAAUCUGGUCCUGGUUUAUCUUUGUGGAACUGCUGACUUGGUGACUUGGAAGAAUGAGGUGCUUGACUGAUGCAGGGUUUAAAGGUUCCUUGGCAGCUUGUCUUUGAAAUAAUGCUGAUCAGGGUGUUUAAUGAGUUUGUGUGUGCAAUGUCUGGAUUGAAUAGUUGAGAUGCUCUGAGAAUAGGAUUCUGCUCAGCAGUUCACAUUGAAGUAGAUAUGGUGUGAAGGUGCCUGAUUUGAGUUGACUGGCUGCCGUGCCAAGUCCUAAAAUGCUUGAUAAAUUGUAAUGCACUAAUAUUUCCUUUUUAGGUCUGUCUACAAAGGGUAAGUCCAUUUUUUUUUGUGUGUGGUUAGGUUUUGCAGAGUCGUGGGAAUAAACGAUUAAAAAUUUGUGUUGGGUCUUUCAUAAAUAUGAAAGUCGUUGUCUUCAGUACUUGUUGGCAACUGACUUGCUAGUUAACUACUGAAGAUUAAACGUGUGCCUAUAAAAGUAGGUAACAAAAUCAACACAACUGACAAUUUCCAUGCAAAAGUCACGUGUUGUCUAACAUUGACAUUUGUCCACUUCUGGUCAAUAAAAGUAGUUCCAGGGACCAAAAAGGGUUGUUUUUAAUUGUCAAAUUUUUCUGGUUGAAUCCACAAACGAUGAUCUAUCCUGGCCACGGUGCCUUUCCUCACUUUAAUGGAAACAAACGUGUCUCGAAAAGAGAAACAAACUUCAAGUCAAACAGCGCCUUUCAAACAAAAUGUCUCUUGAAGUACAAAAAACAAAUGUGCAUACCACUCCAUCAAAUAAUUUAGAAUAUCAACUUAGGUUUUGAGGGAUGGAAACUGUACAAAAUGGAGGAGCAGGUUUUUUUUUUUUUAAUAUUUGCUCAUGAACUUGAUAUUUCUGCAUUCAUUAAAAUCAUUUUACAGAAUGCAGAAAUUCUGUUGUCCUUAGCUCUAAAUGUGUAGUGAUGAUGGAGGACCAGUUGUUAAAUCAGAUUUGAAUGGAUGUUGUGCAGUUGAUGGUAAAUGUUAGGAAUUCAGCAUUGGACGUUGUCCUGUCUGCUGUGCUUUGUGGAUUAGGCUUCGGUCUCUUUCUGUCAAAUAUGGCUGCCCUGCCUAUGCCUUUUUCCUCUUUUCCAACGUGGCCAUUAAUAACUGUUAGCCUAACACGUCUCCAUCCUUACCUAAAGAUAGAGCCACACAAUAUCUGGCUUUGUAUGGCCGCUGUGCCAUUGCCUUUGUAUUACCAUACGUCCCAUAACACAAGUUGGCAAUGACGGCCGUGUGCCUUCAUGGCCGAUUUGUUUUAUCCUAUGCCCCACCUUUUAUUGCCCAUCACCUUGUGGGUCUAGUCAUUUUACAUCCAUGCACAUUUGUUUGUCAGCUUCUCAACAAAGCACCACCCAUCAUCACUGCAUGUCCAUCUUAAAUAAUAACUUGUGUUUUAGUUGCAUAAAAAUAUUUUCAAACUAAGUGCAGUCCUUCUUACUUGGCCGCAAUGCCAUGACUGUACCUGGUCUGCUAAGCUUUUUCACAUGCAUUUCUUGAUUCUUCAUGGCCACUGUGUCAUGACUGUACUUGCCAGUCUAUCAUUUCUGAUCUGUUAUUCCUACUAAAUUUUCCUGGUCGUUGGAUUGAGUGUGUGAUGACUGACGUUAAUCUGACCUUUUGAAACCUAGUCCAAUAAAACUUUUAUUGGCCUUACUGUACCAGAAAAGUACACACAAUUUAUACUGAAAGAUUAGCUAAAUGGAUUUCAAGUAGACUGACUGUAUUCAAAUUAAUUUAUUUUUUAAACUGUUAAAAUUUGUACUUUUUCAGGUAAGUAUAAAGACUUUUGCGGGUAAAUCUGUUAAUUAAUACAAUUUACAAUGGUGUUAAAAUAAGCAAAUUCUUUUUUAAAACGUAAAGUGUUGUCGCAUUAGAUUUUAGGUGUUAUUCGGCCCAUGAAUACUUUAAAUCUGGAAUUUGUUGGCAUGCUUUGGUAUCUUUUUAAGUCUUAAACCGUUUUCUCAGAUUUUAUGCAUUGCUCUUGGCCGUUUUAGUUUUAUCUAAAACUAAACUGAAAUCAUGAUCAUGUAACCAUGUAAACAUAAGUGGUCUUUUGUCUCUUAUUUACAAAGCUUGAGGCUGGGUAAAUGAUAGGACGUUAUGGCUUGCCCAAAGUGGGGUUUUUGAUACGAUACAUAUUCUAUGAUUCCACGAUUUAGGCAGCUUGUGAAGUCAUUAGGGUGAUUCAUUCCAAUCUCUUGGUUGGUUGCAUGAGAAACAGCAAUCUCCCAGGUGUGUUGGUCAAGUUCCUGCUGAUUUUGUGGCCUUGCCCUAAAGUUUCUCUCUGCUUUAACUCUUGUCAAGCUACGCAUUAAAUUAUUCCUCCAACUUGUCUCCAGAUCUCCUUUUCUCUCCCUGCAGCCUUCCAACACCCACUGC